ACGGAAGGCAGCAGUGGGGAAUAUUGCACAAUGGGGGAAACCCUGAUGCAGCAACGCCGCGUGAGUGAAGAAGUAUUUCGGUAUGUAAAGCUCUAUCAGCAGGGAAGAUAAUGACGGUACCUGACUAAGAAGCUCCGGCUAAAUACGUGCCAGCAGCCGCGGUAAUACGUAUGGAGCAAGCGUUAUCCGGAUUUACUGGGUGUAAAGGGUGUGUAGGUGGCACUGCAAGUCAGAUGUGAAAGACCGGGGCUCAACCCCGGGGCUGCAUUCGAAACUGCGGGGCUGGAGUGCAGGAGAGGCAAGCGGAAUUCCUAGUGUAGCGGUGAAAUGCGUAGAUAUUAGGAGGAACACCAGUGGCGAAGGCGGCUUGCUGGACUGAUACUGACGUUGAGGCUCGAAAGCGUGGGGAGCAAACAGGAUUAGAUACCCUGGUA
rnacentral:rRNA from 1 species